rnacentral:tRNA from 1 species
CAGACCCUAAAGAGGUCUUUUAGA